ACUUUUUAAACUUUUUUUUAACACACUAUUUUCACUUAUUAAAACACUUUUGUAAACUUUGCAACGCGACGCUUUCGCUUUUCAAACUCAACUGCAAGUGGCAAAGAGAGAGCGCGCGACGCUCGCGUUGACGAAUGAAAUGGAACUGCAUUCAAGGCUGCGUCGGCGACUGUUGCUGCCUGUGCCUGAAACGUUUGGAAACGAAACGUUGUAAAAGGGCUUGCUGGCUGCACGUAUAUGUGUGACUGUGUGUGUGUGUGAGUUGGUUGCUGUGCGUGAGCACGCUAAUUAGGGGUGGCUUAUUCGCAUUUGGCUUGUCCUGCACGAUGGGCGUUGCCUAGCCAUAGCCGGCGCCAUUUUCAAUGCUUGCCAAUAACAGGCCAGCCAAACCUGACUAUGUACACAUGCACAGCUGUAUGGGUGUGUGUGCGUGUCUGUGUGCGUCUGUUAAGCUGUAUUGCAUUAUGUUAUCUAAUGCUUAACGUGAACAUUUCAAUUGAAAAAUAAAACAUGUUGACCUCGUUUGCGUCUCAA